rnacentral:rRNA from 1 species
AGUGAACGCUGGCGGUAGGCCUAACACAUGCAAGUCGAACGGCAGCACAGUAAGAGCUUUCUCUUACGGGUGGCGAGUGGCGGACGGGUGAGGAAUACAUCGGUAUCUACUUUUUCGUGGGGGGGAACGUAGGGCAACUAACGCCAAUACAGCAUACGACCUACGGGUGAAAGCAGGGGAUCUUCGGACCUUGCGUGAAUGAAUGACCCGAUGUCGGAUUAGCUAGUUGGCGGGGUAAAGGCCCACCAAGGCGACGAUCCGUAGCUGGUCUGAGAGGAUGUACAGCCACAGUGGGACUGAGAGACGAUCCAGAGUCCGACGGGAGGCAGAGGUGGGGAAUAUUGGACGAUGGGCGCAAGACUGCUCCAGGCGUGCCGCGUGGGUGAAGAAGGGCUUCGGGUUGUAUGACGCUUUUGUUGGGGAAGAAAAGUAGCAGGUGAGUCCCCCGCUGUUCUGACGGUACCCGAAGAAUAAGCACCGGCUAACUUCGUG